rnacentral:rRNA from 1 species
UACGUAGGGGGCAAGCGUUGUCCGGAAUCAUUGGGCGUAAAGCGCGCGUAGGCGGCCCGGUAAGUCCGUUGUGAAAGUCAAAGGCUCAACCUUUGAACGCCGAUGGAUACUGCCGGGCUAGAGUCCGGAAGAGGCGAGUGGAAUUCCUGGUGUAGCGGUGGAAUGCGCAGAUAUCAGGAGGAACACCGAUGGCGAAGGCAGUUCUCUGGGCCGUAACUGACGCUGAGGAGCGAAAGCGUGGGGAGCGAACAGG